AUGGCCAGCCUCAACUUGCUGGAGUUGGUGAAGCACAAGACCCAGGCCCUGCAGCAGCAGCGGAUGAGGCGGAGGAGCGCGUGCAGGGCCAGCAGCGGGAGCUGGACGGCAAGUGGGAGCAGCGUGAGAAGGCUGAAGGUGAUGUGACAGCCCUCAAUCGUCACAUCCAGCUCGUUGAGGAGGAAUUGGACAGGGCUCAGGAGCGACUGGCCACAGCCCUGCAGAAGCUGGAGGAGGCAGAAAAGGCUGCAGACGAGAGCGAGAGAGGAAUGAAGGUGAUAGAAGACAGGGCCAUGAAAGAUGAGGAGAAGGUGGAAAUUCAGGAGCUGCAGCUGAAGGAGGCCAAGCAGAUCGCCGAGGAGGCCGACCACAAAUACAAGGAGGUAGCUCGUAAGCUGGUCAUCCUGGAAGGCGAGCAGGAGCGGGCAGAGGAGCAUGCGGAGGUGUCUGAACUAAAGUGUGGUGACCUGGAAGAAGAACUCAAGAAUGUCACUAACAACCUGAAAUCACUUGAGGCUGCAUCUGAAAAGUAUUCUGAAAAGGAAGAUAAAUAUGAAGAAGAAGUUAAACUUUUGUCUGACAAGCUGAAAGAGGCUGAGACCCGUGCUGAAUUUGCAGAGAGAACAGUUGCAAAACUGGAAAAGACAAUUGAUGACCUGGAAGAAAAACUUGCCCAGGCCAAAGAAGAGAACGUGGGCUUACAUCAAACACUGGAUCAGACACUAAAUGAACUUAACUGUAUAUAACCAAAACAGAAGAGUCUUGCUCCACAGAAGCUCCAGAGCACCGUGUCUUUCUCUUCUCUUGUAAGAAAUUUCUUUUGUUAUUGCAUCUUUGCUUUGCUGAAAAUGUCAAGCAAAUUAUGAAUACAUGACCACAUAUUUUGUAUC